UUUCCGGUGUCGUAGUCUAGGAAACCGCCUCCCCCAACGUUACUUCCGGGUAGGGCCCGGGGCAUUGAGGCUCAGGACCAAUGGGGACCAGAUCGGAGAGGGGCUGGCUCCGGGGACAGGAGAGGGCAUUGGCCGGGAGAAGUGAGACGUGGACAAAAGGCGGGACCUCUGGCUUCCGCCCUCCUCCGACCCGCGAACUUGCGACUCGAAGACUACAAGUCCCAGAGUGCGCUGCUUUCCCGGGCGGGCUAGCAAUCAGACUCCGCCUGGCUAAAUUCCCACCCUGGGUGGGCGCGCUGCACCCUGGGAUGUGUGGUCGUCCGAGGGUCACAGGCGGUGACUAGGAUCCCGCUUCCAGCGGCGUCUUGCAGCCAGUCCUACCUCCGGGGCUGUAGGCUUACGAGUCCUGGGGAACCUGUCAGCUGUUUAUCCCUCUUUCUGCGCUUGACGCUUCCCGGAGGGCUGGCCGAAUGAGGCUCACACGUCCCCAGCUCUGUGCUACCCGCUUUCGGCAGUAGUGUUGGGGUAGCCUCUGCCCCGAGAGAAAGUACAAAACAGUAACAGCAAAAGUGAGUUGACCUUUGAUGCCACGUGCUGAGUUUUGCUUGCGUUCUCUCAUGCACUCUUCUCAACUCUCACAAAUAUAAAGCACAGAGUCUGUGGGGGGAGAAAAUCUUUCUGAUAAGAGAAAUCUGAUCUGUGUUUUCAUUAAUGGCAUAUUCUAGAACUGUGCUGUUCAAUAUGGUAGCCACUAGCCACAUGUGGUUAUUGAGCACCUGAAAUAUGGUUACUUCAUAAAUAAUGAGCCUGAACCAGUCUGCUGAAGGAUGAGAGACCACAUGGAGUAGAGCCCAGAUGUCCCAAACCCCACUGGGCAAGAUUGACAUACAGCCAGCCUCCAAACAUGUUGAGAGGGCCAUCCAAGAUCAGAAGAACUAUCUACUGAUUCCUGGCUUGUAGUCUUCUGAGCAAUAAUAAAUGAUCCCUAUUUUAAGCCAC